rnacentral:SRP_RNA from 18 species
CGGUCGCGGCGUCGUGGCUGAAGAGAAAGCUCGCCUCCUUCAGGGGGAGAUCUUCGGCCAGGUCCGGGAGGUAGCAGUCUUCGA